GAUGAACGCUGGCGGCGUGCUUAACACAUGCAAGUCGAACGGAAAGGCUCCUGCUUGCAGGGGUACUCGAGUGGCGAACGGGUGAGUAACACGUGGGUGAUCUGCCCUGCACUUCGGGAUAAGCCUGGGAAACUGGGUCUAAUACCGGAUAGGACCACAUUUUGGAUGGUGUGGUGGAAAGUUUUUCGGUGUGGGAUGAGCUCGCGGCCUAUCAGCUUGUUGGUGGGGUAAUGGCCUACCAAGGCGUUGACGGGUAGCCGGCCUGAGAGGGUGUACGGCCACAUUGGGACUGAGAUACGGCCCAGACUCCUACGGGAGGCAGCAGUGGGGAAUAUUGCACAAUGGGCGCAAGCCUGAUGCAGCGACGCCGCGUGGGGGAUGACGGCCUUCGGGUUGUAAACUCCUUUCGCUAGGGACGAAGCGUUUUUGUGACGGUACCUGGAGAAGAAGCACCGGCUAACUACGUG
rnacentral:rRNA from 1 species